GAUGAACGCUGGCGGCGUGCCUAAUACAUGCCAGUCGAGCGAACAGACGAGGAGCUUGCUCCUCUGACGUUAGCGGCGGACGGGUGAGUAACACGUGGAUAACCUACCUAUAAGACUGGGAUAACUUCGGGAAACCGGAGCUAAUACCGGAUAAUAUAUUGAACCGCAUGGUUCAAUAGUGAAAGACGGUUUUGCUGUCACUUAUAGAUGGAUCCGCGCCGCAUUAGCUAGUUGGUAAGGUAACGGCUUACCAAGGGAACGAUGCGUAGCCGACCUGAGAGGGUGAUCGGCCACACUGGAACUGAGACACGGUCCAGACUCCUACGGGAGGCAGCAGUAGGGAAUCUUCCGCAAUGGGCGAAAGCUUGACGGAGCAACGCCGCGUGAGUGAUGAAGGUCUUCGGAUCGUAAAACUCUGUUAUUAGGGAAGAACAAAUGUGUAAGUAACUAUGCACGUCUUGACGGUACCUAAUCAGAAAGCCACGGCUAACUACGUG
rnacentral:rRNA from 1 species